CUCAGCAAAUAUAUGUUGUCGGUCAAAAAGUCAAGCCAUUUGAUAAUAUCUUUUUGUCAUAUUUGUUGUGGGAUCAGUAGAGUUCUUCACAAUCAGAUCAGAUUUUUUUAAAAUAAAACAAACGAUUUUUAUCUAGGAUUCCCACGUUUGUUGGAAAAUCAAUGUUUAAUGAGAUAUGUAACCGAUAUUUUAAUUGAGAAUGGGAAAUAGUAAAGUUGAGCCAAUAAAGAUCAGGAGUCGGUUUCACAAAAUAACUUAGAACUAAGAUUGAUCGUAAGUAUACUGAAUUGUUUAGGUCUUAAUCAUGUUUUUUUUCUUCAAAAACUGUAAUGAUUUCGAUUGAAGAAUUUUUAGUAGAUUUUUAGGAAUCAACCACUAGUGAACACCGCAGGUUGAGUAUAUCUAAACACAAUAUUUUGAAGGCCCUUUUUGCUGUUGACAAAACGGUAGCAAGAAUUUUAGAAAAAGAUAUAUAUAAGAUCACACAUGUAGACAAGCAUGCUAUUUUCAUAUAGUUCUUCAUAAGAAUUUUUAUGAAGAGGAACAUUAAAAAACAAGUAAUAUCUUCUAGAUUAUGGUUGUUCUUAGAACAGAUGUUUGCAACCUAGUAAAUAUGAUGAAGUCCCUUACUCUGAAAGAUAUGCAAAAUUCACUCAUCCUAUAAAUACUCUCGCAUAAUAUGAGUAUAUAGUGUUUUAUUAGUCCGUCCGUCCGUCCGUUAGAUUGAAGUUUCCAGACGAUUAUUUGAGAAUCGCUCCAUGAAAUGACUUGAAAUUUUCAUCUAAAAUGUAUAACAAAAAUACUGAACUCCAAGGCACAUUCAAAAGGGGAAGUCCAUAAAAAAUGACAAAAUCAUACGCUAUCAAUCAACGGAACAGGUGAAAAACAACUGCUAAAUAAAGGUUUACUUCGAUUAAAUUCAUUUUUAUUUAGUUGUUAAAUUCAAAAAAAGAAACCCUCUUCCAUUUCUUUUUAUAUUUGAUCUAAGAAAUGUAAAAGUUGAAAAUGACGCCAAGUGGAUUACCAAGCAAUUAUAUCUCAAAAGAAGACAGUUGAAAAUGACGCCAAGUGGAUUACAAAGCAAAUAUAUCUCAAAAGGAGACAGUGGAAAAUGACGCCAAGUGGAUUACCAAGCAAAUAUAUCUCAAAAGAAGACAGUUGAAAAUGACGCCAAGUGGAUUACCAAGCAAUUAUAUCUCAAAAGAAGACAGUUGAAAAUGACGCCAAGUGGAUUACCAAGCAAAUAUAUCUCAAAAGAAGACAGUUGAAAAUGACGCCAAGUGGAUUACCAAGCAAUUAUAUCUCAAAAGAAGACAGUUGAAAAUGACGCCAAGUGGAUUACCAAGCAAUUAUAUCUCAAAAGAAGACAGUUGAAAAUGACGCCAAGUGGAUUACCAAGCAAUUAUAUCUCAAAAGAAGACAGUUGAAAAUGACGCCAAGUGGAUUACCAAGCAAAUAUAUCUCAAAAGAAGACAGUUCAAAAUGACGCCAAGUGGAUUACCAAGCAAAUAUAUCUCAAAAGAAGACAGUUGAAAAUGACGCCAAGUGGAUAACCAAGCAAUUAUAUCUCAAAAGAAGACAGUUGCCAAGUGGAUUACCAAGCAAUUAUAUCUCAAAAGAAGACAGUUGAAAAUGACGCCAAGUGGAUUACCAAGCAAAUAUAUCUCAAAAGAAGACAGUUGAAAAUGACGCCAAGUGGAUUACCAAGCAAAUAUAUCUCAAAAGAAGACAGUUGAAAAUGACGCCAAGUGGAUUACCAAGCAAAUAUAUCUCAAAAGAAGACAGUUGAAAAUGACGCCAAGUGGAUUACCAAGCAAAUAUAUCUCAAAAGAAGACAGUUGAAAAUGACGCCAAGUGGAUUACCAAGCAAAUAUAUCUCAAAAGAAGACAACAGUUGAAAAUGACGCCAAGUGGAUUACCAAGCAAAUAUAUCUCAAAAGAAGACAGUUGAAAAUGACGUCAAGUGGAUUACCAAGCAAAUAUAUCUCAAAAGAAGACAAACAACAUCAUUACUUUCAAAUUCUUUAUAAAAAUGAUAUUGAAACUAAAGCAAAUAUUGUAAUUUAUAUUGUAGCUAGAAAACUUCAUGUUGUCAUUAUUAACCAAACAUAGCAAUGACGUGAUAUUUCGUGCAGUUCGAUUUCUUGUCAUGUCACUACUGCAUUCUGAGGUUUGUUAAGGUGGUACCAAAUACCUUGACUAAAAUUAUUUUGGUUCGUUUAAUUUUUAUAAAAUUUUGACAAAAUAUUUACUUUGACCCUUUAACAAAAAUAUAAAAAUUUCAAAAAAGUUGAAUCACACACUUUAUCGGAAAAAUUUCAUCGGAUAAAUAGCAGUUUGACCAACACUUAUUUUGAUCAUUGAGAAGCUUAAUAUUUCCUUAACAAUAGAACGUGAUUAAAACGUUCAGCUGAUUUUUAAAGAAUUAUCUCCUUGUAGUGUUAUGUACCACCUUAAGGUGUGAUAUUUACAUUACAUGUAUGUUUCAUUAGAAUCUGUAAUUUUGAUUGGCUGACAACAAUCACGUGGUAUUUUUGACUUCUUUUAAACUGAGUUUUACUGUGCGUAUUGCUAUGUGUUUCUUUAUUCUACAUUGGCUAGAGGUAUAACGUGAGGGUACCCAAAUUGCACCUAUUUUGACAGUUUUUUCACCUAUUUUUUGUAACGAUCCAGACAAAAGUUACCAUUCUGUGUUCAUUUUUUAGAUGUAUCCUUUUUUACUGUAUAGUUACACCAAUUUAAUUUUGAAUCCAUAGUGAAUCAUAGAAAAUGGGUUUGAACCGACCUCCAAACGAUCCAUGAUUCUGUAAUGAGGAGUACCCAAAUUGCAACCAUGCUUUAAUUCACAUCCUUAAAAAUUGAAUAACAGUUGUUUUGUUUUAUUUCUUCAAAUAUUUAGAACAAUUUGACAUUAGUCCAUGCUUAGUAUUCAUUUUUUAAGAAAUAUAUCUUGUAACAUAUUUUAUUUGCUCAUUUUUAAAAGAUGACUUUUUGUGAACGUGGCAUGGCGACGUUCAGUAGAUUUUACUUUUUCCAGUGUGCUUCAUCUGUUGAAAUAUAGACUGUGAACGUUUUUUGUAUAUUUGAAUAUAGUUACCUAUGUUAAAAGACGUCUAUAAUGUCAAAUCAUAAAAAUACAAAUUAUUUAAUCUCAAAGAAAACUUGUAAGAUUUUCGCAGCUAUUUUUGUUGAAUAGGUGCAAUUUGGGUACUGUGACGUUAGGGGGAGGGUUGAGAUCUCACAAAACAUGUUUAACCCCGCCGCAUUUUUGCGCCUGUCCCAAGUCAGGAGCCUCUGGCUUUUGUUAGUCUUGUAUGUUUUUUUAAUUUUAGUUCAUUUAUAUGUUUUGGAGUUUAGUGCGACGUCCAUUUUCACUGAACUAGUACACAAUUUUAUUUAGGGGACAGCAGAGGACCACCUCUGGGUGCGGGAUUUUCUCGCUGCGUUGAAGUCCCAUUGGUGGCCUUCGGCUGUUGUCUGCUCUUUUGUCGGGUUAUUGUCUCUUCGACAUAUUCCCCAUUUCCAUUCUCAAUUUUAUUUA